rnacentral:rRNA from 1 species
GACGAACGCUGGCGGCGUGCCUAAUACAUGCAAGUAGAACGCUGAAGGAGGAGCUUGCUCUUUCUGGAUGAGUUGCGAACGGGUGAGUAACGCGUAGGUAACCUGCCUGGUAGCGGGGGAUAACUAUUGGAAACGAUAGCUAAUACCGCAUAAUAGUAGAUGUUGCAUGACAUUUGCUUAAAAGGUGCAAUUGCAUCACUACCAGAUGGACCUGCGUUGUAUUAGCUAGUUGGUGAGGUAACGGCUCACCAAGGCAACGAUACAUAGCCGACCUGAGAGGGUGAUCGGCCACACUGGGACUGAGACACGGCCCAGACUUCUACGGGAGGCAGCAGUAGGGAAUCUUCGGCAAUGGACGGAAGUCUGACCGAGCAACGCCGCGUGAGUGAAGAAGGUUUUCGGAUCGUAAAGCUCUGUUGUAAGAGAAGAACGAGUGUGAGAGUGGAAAGUUCACACUGUGACGUAUCUACCAGAA